rnacentral:rRNA from 1 species
UACGAAGGGGGGCUAGCGUUGCUCGGAAUCACUGGGCGUAAAGCGCACGUAGGCGGCUUUCUAAGUCAGGGGGUGAAAUCCUGGAGCUCAACUCCAGAACUGCCUUUGAUACUGGAGAGCUAGAGUCCGGAAGAGGUGAGUGGAACUGCGAGUGUAGAGGUGAAAUUCGUAGAUAUUCGCAAGAACACCAGUGGCGAAGGCGGCUCACUGGUCCGGUACUGACGCUGAGGUGCGAA